rnacentral:misc_RNA from 1 species
CAAAUUUGUAAUGAUUAAAAUGGUCUACGUCUUGUACCAAAGAUGUUCUUAUUUAUUUCAGUCCAUCCAUUACAAGAUUUGAAAAAUCAAGGACUCAAGACAAGUACACUCGAUUGACAAAUGCUGUAGCAAUUCACUUCCAACGGCUGAGAGCAAUAGCUACAUAUGCCACGUAAUCGUCUUUCCUCCAUUUUCUUGUUUACAUCUAUGACACCAACUACAAUGCGAUGGUAAGUAGCCCCCGAUUCUAGGACAUGUUAAUGGAACAUCUCGUCUAAUUUCUGCCUGUAUUGAGCUAAUCUCCUAGUAUAUGCAUAGACCCCAGCCUCAGUUGGUCCUGCAGGACUUCCCCUUCUAGUGAACCUCCCCUCUUUGAAUAUGUAAAGCAUAGGUAUUCCGGUUGAGAGUUCUAAACUUAUAACCUCCUGAGAAGUUAAUUUGUCAAGAUACAUAAUUAUGGACCUCAACGAAUU